rnacentral:rRNA from 1 species
ACGAACGCUGGCGGCGUGCCUAAUACAUGCACGUCGAGCGGACUGAUUAAGAGCUUGCUCUUAUGACGUUAGCGGCGGACGGGUGAGUAACACGUGGGCAACCUGCCCUGUAGAUCGGGAUAACACCGAGAAAUCGGUGCUAAUACCGGGUAAUAUCUGAGAUCACAUGAUCUUAGGUUAAAAGAUGGCUCCGGCUAUCACUACAGGAUGGGCCCGCGGCGCAUUAGCUAGUUGGUAAGGUAAUGGCUUACCAAGGCGACGAUGCGUAGCCGACCUGAGAGGGUGAUCGGCCACACUGGGACUGAGACACGGCCCAGACUCCUACGGGAGGCAGCAGUAGGGAAUCUUCCGCAAUGGACGAAAGUCUGACGGAGCAACGCCGCGUGAGUGAUGAAGGGUUUCGGCUCGUAAAGCUCUGUUGUUAGGGAAGAAACAGUACCGAACGAACUAGGUCGGUACCUUGACGGUACCUAACCAGAAAGCCACGGCUAACUACGUG